rnacentral:lncRNA from 1 species
UCAGAUGUUGGUUAAUUAGUAAUAUAGGGAUACUCCACUUGUUAUUGCGACUUUGAUCUAAACAGCUCUGUAAAGCCCAUUUUCACAUUUUUAAAAUAAUAUGCUUUAGCAGCAGGUGAGGAAAACUUAAGGCAUGGCACAUUUAUUGGAAAAGCAGCAGUGGGCGGCUUGGUUUAAUGGCAACACCACUAGAUAACUGUCUAAGGCCCUUUCCAGAUCCAAUGGUCAAGGUAACAGCAGAAACAAAGAAAAUCUCAGAGGUCUCUUCUUAUGUCUCUGCUAACAAUAAAAAGAACAGCUUUUGGGGAAGUGGGCUGCUUUAUCCUGUAGCCCUCCUCAGAUGCCAAGACUGCUGGGCUGGCCACCAGACUCACGUCCUCAAGAGAGUGUCUCACUAUGUUGCCCAGGCUGGUCUCAAAUUCCUGGCCUCAAGCAAUCUUCCCACUUCAGCCUCCCAAAGUGCUGGGACUACAGGCACAUGCCACCAUGCCCAGCCGCAAGUGUUUAUCCCCAUUCCAUAGGGGGUGAAACUGAGGCACAAAAAGAGGAAAUCACCAUCAGGAUAUGCCACUGCAGAGAGAUAUAAGAUGAGAGUAAUUCAGCUUCAUGGGUUAUUUUCAAAAAGUAAGGAAGAAACUGCAACAAGAACUGAAUCACGCUUUACUACAGCAUUGCCUUCUACUUCCUCCACCAGCCAACUGGGAGAUGAACUUUUAUGAGGAGCAGUAUUGAUGGAUUUAAGUUUUCAAUUUUAUGUCAUUUUGUGCUUUCUGGAGGCGGUACAGUGAGCUUGGAAGUUUUUGCCCUGGUAGAGGUGGAGACGAUAUAGCCCAGAAGUUCAGACUGGAGUCAAAGGUUCCGAGUUCAAAGCCCACCCAGCUACUUAUUAACUGAAUGACCCUUAGCGAAGUUGCUUUAACUUUCCUGAUUCAGCUCCUUCAUCUAAACUCUCAGAAUUGUUAGAUCAGGAAUGCUUGCUCUUGGAAGCCAGCCACCAUGCUGUGAGGAAGAGCAAGCAACACAUGGAGAGGCCACUGUUCCAGCCAACAGCCCCAGCUGAGGUCCCAGCUGACAGGCCGCAUCAAAUCGCCAAGGAUGUGAACAAGUAAAAUGACAAUGGUGGACGUCUCAUUCAUCCUGGAAGACUGACAGAGGAGACAGCUUCAAGGCAAGCAGGGCUUUGGCCAUUUCCCCAGCCCAUCAACCAGCCAAUCACAAAAUCAAAAAACUAGAGAGUACACAGUCACGAAAAGGUCCAAUAACCUCCCAAAGGCUCACAGCUCAUAAGCAGCAGGAGCAGGAUUCAAACGCAGGCAAUCAAAACCCCGAGUCAUGCUCUUAACCACUACGCCACGAGUUCUCAAAGCGUGACCUGCACACCCUUGGAAUCCUCAAGACCCUUUCAGGGGUUAUUAGAUACUACAUGGCAACUAACCUUUAAGAAACUACUGCUUGUCAAAUUUUGUUGUAGUAUCAAAGAAGAAUAUCCAUAAUUAUCUGAAAAGGCUAUUAAAAUACUCUUUGCCAAUUAAAAAAAAAAAAAAAAAAAA